GUCCGAAAAGAGCGGAAGUUGAGGGGACGGUUUUGAAAUUGCUUGGUGCUGAAUGGUAUUUGAAUUGCUUUGGACUCUCCCACCCAGUUUGAUCUUCCAGCCCACGUGCACCUCUCGGUGGCUUAGCCUAGUGCCCCAAAGGGGAGGAAGGCCCCCAGGCUAGACCUUUCCUCGGAGCCUGGCCCCGUCCUUUAAUAAAGCGAAGCGUUCCUCCUGGCGGCACUGUGCGGCGUGGGCCUCGUCGCUUUCCGUCCUACCUCCCUUCCUCUUCCCCCGCCCGUUUCUCCCCGGACUCCUCCGUAUUCUUGGGCACGCGGGGGUCAACAUGUCCACUCCGCCUUUAGCUGCGGCGGGAAUGCCUCCCGGAGCCUUUACCGGACCCCAAGCCCAAGCUGCCCGCGAGGUGAACACGGCAUCCCUCUGCCGGAUUGGCCAGGAAACCGUGCAGGACAUUGUGUAUCGCACUAUGGAGAUCUUCCAGCUGCUGAGGAACAUGCAGCUACCAAAUGGCGUCACUUAUCACACUGGAACAUACCAGGACAGGUUAGGUAAACUUCAAGAUCAUCUCCGUCAACUUUCCAUCCUCUUCCGGAAACUAAGAUUAGUUUAUGAUAAAUGCAAUGAAAACUGUGCAGGACUAGAUCCUAUUCCAAUAGAGCAACUCAUUCCUUAUGUGGAAGAAGAUGGCUCAAAGAAUGAUGACCGUGGUGCUUCUGGUCAACUCCGUUUUGCCAGUGAAGAAAGGAGAGAAAUAGCAGAAGUAAAUAAAAAUAGAAGACCUCACUUAUUGGAGGGAGCUUCCUUUAAGAUGUAAAGAGCAAAAAGUGAAGAGUAGAGAUUAAUUUAAGAGGGGGAAAGAAGUUUUGCAACUUCUGAGGAAUAGGCACAGAAACUGAAACAGAAGAAUCAACAGCUGAAGCAAAUUAUGGAUCAAUUACGAAAUCUCAUCUGGGACAUAAAUGCCAUGUUGGCAAUGAGGAACUGAACUGGUUUUCAAAUUUGUAUUUUAUGACUUGCUGUAACUAUUUUCUCUUUUGUUUUCAAUUCUUAUUUUUUUAAACAGUAGCUUAUUUGUUUGCUUCAUUACAAUGUUACAAAAUUAAAUUAUUGUUUCUUUAUUCCAGAUAUGCAUUAAAUAUUUCCUUUAUAAUUUAUUAGGUAAUAUUUCUCUGUUAAGUAGUUAUUGACAGCUCUUAAUUUUUCUUAGUUUUCUAUGAUUCAUUGAUUAUGUGAAAAGACCUGAAUCCUAUUUGUUGUUAAAUUCAUUUUUCUUGAGCUUAUCAUUUUAUAGUAAAGAUUUAGUAACCACUUAUUAAGAUCUUAUGCCCAAAUAACUGUUCAAAAAGUUAAUCAUUUUUUUCUAAAUAAAAAUCAAUUUAAAC